UACGAAGGGUGCAAGCGUUGCUCGGAAUCACUGGGCGUAAAGGGUGCGUAGGCGGACGUUUAAGUCGGAGGUGAAAUCCCAGGGCUCAACCCUGGAACUGCCUUCGAUACUGGACGUCUCGAGACCGGGAGAGGUGAGUGGAACUGCGAGUGUAGAGGUGAAAUUCGUAGAUAUUCGCAAGAACACCAGUGGCGAAGGCGGUUCACUGGCCCGGUACUGACGCUGAGGCACGAAAGCGUGGGGAGCAAACAGG
rnacentral:rRNA from 1 species